AAUCAACGCUGGCGGCGUGCCUCAGACAUGCAAGUCGAACGAGAACCUCCCUUCGGGGAGGGGACAGUGGCGCACGGGUGAGUAACACGUGGGUAAUUUACCUUCGGGUGGGGAACGAACAGCCGGAAACGGCUGCUAAUACCGCAUAAUGCAGCGGCUCCGAUUGGAGACAGUUGUUAAAGCGGGGGAGUCGCAAGACCUCGCGCCUGAAGAGAAGCCCGCGGCAGAUUAGCUAGUUGGUAGGGUAAUGGCCUACCAAGGCAACGAUCUNUAACCGGCCUGAGAGGGCGGUCGGUCACACUGACACUGACAUACGGGUCAGACUCCUAC
rnacentral:rRNA from 1 species